UUCACUUUUUGUAUGACAUUUUACCUUAAUAAAUUUGUGUUGAAACCUUAUCUGAUACGUCCUCUAUCUGGCGACUAUAUAUUAAAGGGAUUUUUCGAACAGGGAGAUGGAAAAAGAGCUUGCUCUGUCCACUCCACGCAUUGACCUGGUAUUGCAGUACCUCCAGGACUGGUGCACCCCUU